rnacentral:misc_RNA from 1 species
CAUUUCAUGCUGCUGGUCAUGUUCUCUAUGAUGCAAUGUAUUGGUAUACAUUACUUGCGAAACAUUGUACUGGCUUCCAUCUGGAUAAAAAUGGCCGACCAAUUUUCCCGUAGAUCAUCGUUGCCUUGGUAUCUUCUUUUUGGAUGGGGAAUACCACUGGCCAUAUCUUUGUCAACUGUAGGACUUUUCUAUAGUAAAGGGACUUACGUUUUACCAAACAUAUGCUGGUUAUCAACCGAGAGUGGCUCUUUGUACUUUUUCAUUGUUCCUGCGUACCUUAUUGUACUCGUAAGACCUUGCAUAAAAAUACGUUGAAUUUCACGUUGAGUUUCACUUCAUAGAAUACCCUGCCUAAAAGGAAAAAAACCUAUUUAACUUCAUGACUUUUCAGAUUAACAUCAUCAUUCUGAUAGCACUGAUUAAAGUAUCUGUCGCUCGUUUAAAACCCUUUCAAAGUCUGCGCAAACAAACGGAGGGCAACGGUGAUUCUGAUAAUGCUGCCAAAGCAAGACAAGCAUUAAAGAAUUUUGGGGUCCUUGUUCCAGUUCUCGGAUUUACGUGGCUAUUUGGUAUACUUUCAAUAAACAAGGAUACAGAAGUUUUCCAGUAUCUUUUCACCAUUAGUAGCUCCCUCCAGGGACUUUUUAUUUUUCUUGUCCAUGUACCACUGAACAAGAAAUGGAAAGACGCGUUUGCAAAGAAAUACAGGAAAAUUGAUAAGAGUAAAAACACCCGCCAAACAGGAUCUGAAUCAGCAGCAUCGUCACACCAAGUUACAAGUAACAAUACAGCUAAAUCAAGCCUUGGGUCAAACCAUGAACUCACAGAGGUUGCCAAAACUACGAAAGAGAAUUAAAGGUGGAUAAUUGUUUUAAAAGAAUUACAUGUAGAUAAAACAAUAAAUGUAUCAAGUACAUUGC